rnacentral:rRNA from 1 species
UACGAAGGGGGCUAGCGUUGCUCGGAAUCACUGGGCGUAAAGGGUGCGUAGGCGGGUCUUUAAGUCAGGGGGGAAAUCCUGGAGCUCAACUCCAGAACUGCCUUUGAUACUGAAGAUCUUGAGUUCGGGAGAGGUGAGUGGAACUGCGAGUGUAGAGGUGAAAUUCGUAGAUAUUCGCAAGAACACCAGUGGCGAAGGCGGCUCACUGGACUGGUAUUGACGCUGAGGUGCGAAAGCGUGGGGAGCAAACAGG